CCUACGGGUGGCAGCAGUGGGGAAUUUUGCGCAAUGCUCGUAAGAGUGACGCAGCGACGCCGCGUGAAUGACGAAGGCCUUCGGGUCGUAACGUUCUUUCGACAGGGAAGAAAAUGCCUAUAAGUAACUGUGUAUGUAUUGACGGUCCCUGUAUAAGCAGCCCCGGCUAACUCCGUGCCAGCAGCCGCGGUAAUACGGAGGGUGCGAGCGUUGUUCGGAGUGACUGGGCGUAAAGGGCACGUAGGCGGUGUUGUAAGUCAUUAGUCAAAGACUAGAGCUCAACUUUAGUAAGGCUAGUGAUACUAUAAUACGAGAGUAUCAGAGAGGAUUGCAGAAUUCCUGGUGGAGCGGUGAAAUGCGUAGAUAUCAGGAGGAAUACCGUUAGCGAAGGCGGCAAUCUGGCUGGAAACUGACGCUGAGGUGCGAAAGCGUGGGUAGCAAACAGGAUUAGAUACCCUUGUAGUC
rnacentral:rRNA from 1 species